rnacentral:rRNA from 1 species
AGUGAACGCUGGCGGUAGGCCUAACACAUGCAAGUCGAACGGCAGCACAGGAGAGCUUGCUCUCUGGGUGGCGAGUGGCGGACGGGUGAGGAAUACAUCGGAAUCUACUUUUUCGUGGGGGAUAACGUAGGGAAACUUACGCUAAUACCGCAUACGACCUACGGGUGAAAGCAGGGGACCUUCGGGCCUUGCGCGAUUGAAUGAGCCGAUGUCGGAUUAGCUAGUUGGCGGGGUAAAGGCCCACCAAGGCGACGAUCCGUAGCUGGUCUGAGGGGAUCAUCAGCAACACUGGAACUGAGACACGGUCCAGACUCCUACGGGAGGCAGCAGUGGGGAAUAUUGGACAAUGGGCGCAAGCCUGAUCCAGCCAUACCGCGUGGGUGAAGAAGGCCUUCGGGUUGUAAAGCCCUUUUGUUGGGAAAGAAAUCCAGCUGGCUAAUACCCGGUUGGGAUGACGGUACCCAAAGAAUAAGCACCGGCUAACUUCGUGCCAGCCGCCGCCGCAG